rnacentral:misc_RNA from 1 species
GAUAUUUAAUGAUGAUCUUAGCUUUGCAAGCAAUAAUGGAGAGAAUUUGUAAAAGAUAGGAGAAAUUUGGGUAAAAAUUUAAGAGAAUAUGAGAGAUAUAAUAGCUGAGGAAGAGAGAACAUGCAAACAAAGAAAAGAAAAGCAAAUUGAUACUGUUUCCAUGUGAUUGCAGCAGGCUGUUACCGUUGCAUAACAGCAAAUAAUGGCCUUUACACCUGCAACUCGAGAUUUGCCAGUAAAUAAUGGUGUAUCGCAUAAUUGGCCCCCCCAAAACCCGUAAGUAAUGGCCGUUAUUGGAAACCAUAUGUAAUGUGAUAAUUUUUGCUUCAAUAUUUGGUGCAUUUUUGGCAGUAAUAACAUAUUCCAUGGUGGUGGCGGCAGCAGCACUGGCUGGUAAAUUGUAGUGGUUGCCAGCUGAUGGUGACUACUGUUUCUGGAUGGCGAUUAUGGUGAAAAAUUGUGGCAGUGAAAGAAAUAAAAAUAACAAAACAAUAUGAUUACAAGCAGUUUCAUAUCUAAUGAACAUUACAUUAGUCAAAAUGUAAUUGCUCACAUGACGGCUAUUACAUUACAUCAAAUUUUAUUUAUAACCAAACAAAGCAACAAAACAUGCAAUGUAAUCGCAAUUCCACUAUGGCUACGAUUAAGUCCUACCAAAAUAUAGACUUAGCAACUGACAUAUAGCAUUUUACAUGAACUGAUGAUUGAUGAAAAAUUUGCAGCAAGAAAAGAUAUAAAUUAUGACAUGAGAUCCACUAUGUAUUUGUAAUCUAAUGCAUGAAACUCCAUAUCCAUAUGACAAGGUUGGACACAGUAAAGACUCUAACAUGCAAGCUACACACACCUUCACAAUGCCAUCAUAGUCAGUUGAUGCCAGAUAAUUCUUGAUGUAGUUGUUCCAGCAAAUACAACUAAGCCUUGAUUUGUUCGGCAUUUCAAUGACUGGAUAGUGAAUAUCAACAGAA